AGGGUGGAACGACUACUACCAGAACAAUAAAGAAAUGUGCAGACUCCUCGCUGUGUCCAGCUGCAGACACACAGACAUACUCCUUAAACACUGGAUCUGGUCAAGUGUUUGCACAAGCCACCUGUUGUAAUGAAUCAAACAACUGCAACAAAGAUGCCCCACCACCGCCGACCGCCCCUGGACCUGGCUCCCUGCGAUGUCUGACCUGUGAUCCUCUGACAGGCCCAUGCAAUACUUCUAUACAAUGUAACACACUGGAGACCAACUGCUUCAUAACAACAGCAACAACACCUUCAUCGAUCCCAGUCCACGGCUGUGCCUCACCAAACACAUGCUCCAACUCUGUUCUGAACACACUUCUACCUGAACUGUCCCCUUAUGAAACUGUGACUGGACCAAGCUCCUGCUGCACAACUGAUGAUUGUAACAAUUAACAACUACAACUACUCCUGCCCCAACUACAACUACUCCACCAGAUUCUACAAUCAGGUGUAGUGUUUGUUCAGACCUCACUGAUCCAACCUGCAAACAAGCAACAGUGCAAGACUGUGCAACAACACACACCAUGUGCUUUGUAUCAACAACAC